GCGGCCUGGUGCCCGGUGGAGGAUGACACACACGUGCCACACCUGCUUUUUUAAAGGCUGCAGAAAACUUCACUCUUUUGGUUAAGAACAACAUCUGGUAUCCCAAAUUUAAUUUCAGCAAAGGAAUAUCCUUCCCAACAUCACCACUACUUACCUCAAGUCGUGCAUUUAUGAUGCUAAAACAGAUCCCUUCUGCCCCAUAUUCCGUCUUGGCAAAAUAGUGGAGAACGCAGGACACAGUUUCCAGGACAUGGCCGUGGAGGAGGCAUCAUGGGCAUCCAGGUCAACUGGGACUGCAACCUGGACAGAGCCGCCUCCCUCUGCUUGCCCAGGUACUCCUUCCGCCGCCUCGAUACACGGGACGUUGA
rnacentral:lncRNA from 1 species